CAAACUGAAGAUGGCGACCGGCACACGGGUGAGUAACACGUAUCCAACCUGCCGAUAACUCGGGGAUAGCCUUUCGAAAGAAAGAUUAAUAUCCGAUGGUAUAUUAAAACCGCAUGGUUUUACUAUUAAAGAAUUUCGGUUAUCGAUGGGGAUGCGUUCCAUUAGUUUGUUGGCGGGGUAACGGCCCACCAAGACUACGAUGGAUAGGGGUUCUGAGAGGAAGGUCCCCCACAUUGGAACUGAGACACGGUCCAA
rnacentral:rRNA from 1 species